GAGGAGAAAGCAUUAAAAUAUGUGGCUAACUUGAAAUUAGCAGAUGGCAGUUAAAAUCUGUCUUUCCUU
rnacentral:tRNA from 1 species